rnacentral:rRNA from 1 species
CCUACGGGUGGCAGCAGUAGGGAAUCUUCCACAAUGGACGAAAGUCUGAUGGGGCAACGCCGCGUGCGUGAAGAAGGGUUUCGGCUCGUAAAGCUCUGUUGGUAGUGAAGAAAGAUUGAGGUAGUAACUGGCCUUUAUUUGACGGUACUUACUUAGAAAGUCAAGGCUAACUACGUGCCAGCAGCCGCGGUGAUACGUAGGUGGCAAGUGUUGUCCGGAUUUAUUGGGCGUAAAGCGAGUGGAGGCGGUUCAAUAAGUCUGAUGUGAAAGCCUUCGGCUGAACCGGGGAAUUGCAUCUAAUACUGUUGAUCUAGAGUGCAGAUGAGGUGGGUGGAACGUCAUGGGUAGCGGUGGAAUGCGUAGAUAUAUGAAAGAACACCGGUGGCGAAGGCAGCUCACUAGUCUACAACUGACGCUGAGGCUCGAAAGCAUGGGUAGCGAACAGGAUUAGAUACCCGAGUAGUC